CUAUUCUAAGAAGAAGAGGGAACGAAGAGGACGCCCAGGGUGAGUGAAUUUUAAUUUCUUCUAAGUGAGGUGAAGUGUGUGAAAAUGUGAGUGCAACAUUUUAGAACACAGUAAGUAUUUAUCAGUAUCCAAAUAUGAGUGAAAAAUAAUUAAUUAAUUGUAGAUAAGACGUAAUUCUCUCAAAGCUUUUGAAGAAAAAUUUCCAGACAUUUGACAAAGCAUCUCUUAAAUAAUGAAGAAAAACAUUCAAGCAAGCUCUAAACUAAGUAUAUUUUACGAAUUUUAUUUUGUUUUUUUUUCAUAACUAAUGUUUUCAAUUUUUUGUUUCAGAUGACUCGAGUGACUUAAAGUGCGUGUUGUGAACUUACAAGUGUUUAACGGACAUUUAGUAGUGCGCGAUUUUUUAAACUUCGAGUGAUUAAAGUGCCAAUGGAAUGGAUCUUCAGGGAAUCUGGACGCUGUAAUCGUGCUACAAGGAUCGGGAUUAAAGGGUUAGUUGUCAUUUUUUUUCUCUAAAAGAAUUAAGUAUAAAUCCGUAAUGUUACACUUAAACGAAUUUAUCGAAAAUUUGUAUACUGAUCUUGUGUUUUUUUAUUUUCAGUUGGUCUAUUCUAAGAAGAAGAGGGAACGAAGAGGAUGCCAGGGGUGAGUGAAUUUUAAUUUUUUUUAAGUGAGGUGAGGUGAGGUGUGUGAAUACGUGAUUUUUAAUGUGAGUGCGACAUUUUAGAACACAGUAAGUUUUUAUAUCAAAAUAUGAGUGAAAAUUAAUUGUGUUUUAGAUGAAACGUAAUUCUCUCAAAGAUUUUAAAGAAAUUUUCCGGACUGAAGUCUUAGUGAUUUUUAAUUGUCAUGUAUUAUUAACAAUAAACAAUCGGUGUCUUGAUUUGGCGGCAAUGUGAUGGUGGUGGAUUAUCUAGUGGUUUUAUAAAGUGAAAAAUUGUGUUAAAACUAUUGUUUUCUUAUAAAAUAUUGCGCGAUAGUUUGAAAAACUGUUCCGUGUAUCCGGUUUUUCGACGAUUUGCAUUAAUUAAUCAAUCGAUAAGAUUUGUUUAAUCGACGACAGGAAAAUUAACGUCCCCCCCAGUGGUUUUUUUGUGAUCUUUAAUUGUGACGUACUGGUGACAAUAAACAAUCGGUGUCUUGAUUUGGCGGCAAUGUGAUGGUGGUGGAUUAUCUAGUGGUUUUAUAACGUGAAAAAGUGUGUUAAAAAAAUUGUUUUCUUAUCAAAUAUUGUGCAAAAGUUUCAAAAAAACGUUUCGUGUUUCCGAUGUUUCAAUGAUUUGCAUCAAUUAAUCGAUAAGAUUUGGUUAAUCGACGACAAGAAAAACAACACCCCCCUUCCCUGAAGAUUUUUUAGUGAUUUUUAAUUGUGUCUUGAUUAGGCGGAAAUGUGAUUGUGGUGGAUUUUCCAAUGGUUUUAUGACGUGAAAAAGUGUGUUAGAACUGUUUUUAUCUACCAUAUUGUGCAAAAAUUUUAAGAAAUGUUCGGUGUAGUUAGCAGUGAUUAAAAAUUCUUUGUAAUUAGUGUAGUUGGUGUAGUUGAUAGUUGGUGUUCGCAAUGAUGACGCCUUGAAGAAAUCUGAAAAUUCGUGAAAUAAGAACAAAAUAUAUUAUCGCUGUGUGCAAAUGUGUGCAAUAAAUAAUAAUUAUUACUUACUCUUAUUUAGGUAUUCAAUGCCAGGUCACUACAGGAACCCAUGUAAAACGUUCUGAGGACUCAAUUGGCGCCAAAAAGAGUGAAGAAUUCAAAUAACUCAAGUGAUCGUAAGUGCCUGUUGUGGACUUUCAAGUGCUUAACAGACAUUUAGUAGUGCGCGAUUUUUUAAAUUUCGUGUGAUUAAAGUGCCAAUGGAAGGGAUCUUCAGGGAAUCUGGACGCUAUAAUCAUGCUACAAGGAUCAGGAUUAAAGGUAGGUCUGUUCUAAGGACAAGAGGGAAUGAAGAAGAUGCCCAGGGUGAGUGAAUUUUAUUUUUUUCUAAGUGAGGUGAAGUGUGUGAAAAUGUGAGUGCAACAUUUUAGAACUCAGUAAGUAUUUAUAAGUAUCCAAAUAUGAGUGAAAAUUAAUAAAUUAAUUGUAGAUGAAACGUAAUUCUUUCAAAGCUUUUAAAGAAAAAUUUGCACAUAAUUGACGAAGCAUCUCUUAAAUAGUGAAGAAAAACAUUCACAGCAAGCUCGAGACUAAGUAUAUUAUGACUCGAGUGACUUAAAGUGCGUGUUGUGGAUUUUCGAGUGUUUAACAGACAUUUAGUAGUGCGCGAUUUUUUAAAUUUCGAGUGAUUAAAGUGCCCAUGGAAGGAAUCUUCAGGGAAUUUGGACGCUAUAAUCGUGCUACAAGGAUCAGGAUUAAAGGAUUAGUUGCUAUUUUUUUUUUCUAAAAAAAUUAAGUUCAAAUCCGUAAUGUUACACUUAAACUAAUUUAUCGAAAAUUUGUAUACUGAUCUUGUGUUUUUUUAUUUCCAGUAGGUCUAUUCUAAGAAGAAGAGGGAACGAAGAGGACGCCCAUGGUGAGUGAAUUUUAAUUUUUUCUAAGUGCGGUGAAGUGUGUGAAUAUGUGAGUGCAACAUUUUAGAACACAGUAAGUAUUUAUAAGUAUCCAAAUAUGAGUGAAAAUUAAUUAGUUAAUUGUAGAUGAAACGUAAUUCUCUCAAAGCUUUUGAAGAAAAAUUUCCAGACAUUUGACGAAGCAUCUCUUAAACAAUGAAGAAAAACGUUCACAGCAAGCUCAAGACUAAGUAUAUUGUACGAGUUUGAUUUUGUUUCUUCAUUCAUUAUUAAUUUCUGUUAUUUUUUGUUUCAGAUAAUUCUAGUGAUCGUAAGUGCGUGAUGUGGACUUUCAAGUGUUUAACAGACAUUUAGUAGUGCGCGAUUUUUUAAAUUUCGAGUGAUUAAAGUGCCAAUGGAAGGGAUCUUCAGGGAACUUGGACGCUAUAAUCGUGCUACAAGGAUCAGGAU